rnacentral:misc_RNA from 1 species
AAGUCGUAACAAGGUUUCCGUAGGUGAACCUGCGGAAGGAUCAUUAUUGAAAUAAACCUGAUGGGUUGUUGCUGGUUCUCUAGGGAGCAUGUGCACGCCUUGUCAUCUUUAUAUCUCCACCUGUGCACCUUUUGUAGACCUUUUAGGUCUAUGUUGCUUCAUUUACCCCAAUGUAUGUUAAUAGAAUGUUGUGCCUAUAUAAUAUAUACAACUUUCAGCAACGGAUCUCUUGGCUCUC